rnacentral:tRNA from 1 species
UUUAAUAUGGCAGAUUAAGUGCAAUAGGUUUAAACUCUAUAUAUAAAGUGUAACUUUUAUUAAAA